rnacentral:rRNA from 1 species
UACGUAGGGGGCAAGCGUUGUCCGGAUUUAUUGGGCGUAAAGAGCGUGUAGGCGGCCACACAGGUCAGCUGUGAAAACUCGAGGCUCAACCUCGAGACGUCGGUUGAAACCGUAUGGCUAGAGUCCGGAAGAGGAGAGUGGAAUUCCCGGUGUAGCGGUGAAAUGCGUAGAGAUCCGGAGGAACACCAGUGGCGAAGGCGACACGCUGGGCCGUACCUGACGCUAAAGCGCGACAGCAUGGGGAGCAAACGGG